rnacentral:rRNA from 1 species
ACACUCCUGCGGGAGGCAGCAGUGGGGAAUAUUGGACAAUGGGCGCAAGCCUGAUCCAGCCAUGCCGCGUGAGUGAUGAAGGCCCUAGGGUUGUAAAGCUCUUUCACCGGUGAAGAUAAUGACGGUAACCGGAGAAGAAGCCCCGGCUAACUUCGUGCCAGCAGCCGCGGUAAUACGAAGGGGGCUAGCGUUGUUCGGAUUUACUGGGCGUAAAGCGCACGUAGGCGGACUAUUAAGUCAGGGGUGAAAUCCCGGGGCUCAACCCCGGAACUGCCUUUGAUACUGGUAGUCUUGAGUUCGAGAGAGGUGAGUGGAAUUCCGAGUGUAGAGGUGAAAUUCGUAGAUAUUCGGAGGGACACCAGUGGCGAAGGCGGCUCACUGGCUCGAUACUGACGCUGAGGUGCGAAAGCGUGGGGAGCAAACAGGAUUAGAAACCCCAGUAGUCCCAUGAU